rnacentral:rRNA from 1 species
UACGAAGGGUGCAAGCGUUAAUCGGAAUUACUGGGCGUAAAGCGUGCGCAGGCGGUUUUGUAAGACAGGCGUGAAAUCCCCGGGCUCAACCUGGGAACUGCAUUUGUGACUGCAAGGCUAGAGUACGGCAGAGGGGGAUGGAAUUCCGCGUGUAGCAGUGAAAUGCGUAGAUAUGCGGAGGAACACCAAUGGCGAAGGCAAUCCCCUGGGCCUGUACUGACGCUCAUGCACGAAAGCGUGGGGAGCAAACAGG